AGGCCUGUCCACACAAACUGGAACGUGUGUUGCUCGUAUGUCCAGCAUGCCCACCUGAGUCGUAAUACUGCCCUUUACUCAGCAGUACAGGUCUUGUGUGACCAGCGGGUCAUUUACCUGUUGUGUCUAGCCACAGUACAGGUCUUGUGUGACCAGCGGGUCAUUUACCUGCUGUGUCUAGCCACAGUACAGGUCUUGUGUGGCCAGCGGGUCAUUUACCUGCUGUGUCUAGCCACAGUACAGGUCUUGUGUGGCCAGCGGGUCAUUUACCUGCUGUGUCUAGCCACAGUACAGGUCUUGUGUGGCCAGCGGGUCAUUUACCUGCUGUGUCUAGCCACAGUACAGGUCUUGUGUGGCCAGCGGGUCAUUUACCUGCUGUGUCUAGCCACAGUACAGGUCUUGUGUGGCCAGCGGGUCAUUUACCUGCUGUGUCUAGCCACAGUACAGGUCUUGUGUGGCCAGCGGGUCAUUCACCUGCUGUGUCUAGCCACAGUACAGGUCUUGUGUGGCCAGCGGGUCAUUCACCUGCUGUGUCUAGCCACAGUACAGGUCUUGUGUGGCCAGCGGGUCAUUCACCUGCUGUGUCUAGCCACAGUACAGGUCUUGUGUGGCCAGCGGGUCAUUCACCUGCUGUGUCUAGCCACAGUACAGGUCUUGUGUGGCCAGCGGGUCAUUCACCUGCUGUGUCUAGCCACAGUACAGGUCUUGUGUGGCCAGCGGGUCAUUCACCUGCUGUGUCUAGCCACAGUACAGGUCUUGUGUGGCCAGCGGGUCAUUCACCUGCUGUGUCUAGCCACAGUACAGGUCUUGUGUGGCCAGCGGGUCAUUCACCUGCUGUGUCUAGCCACAGUACAGGUCUUGUGUGGCCAGCGGGUCAUUCACCUGCUGUGUCUAGCCACAGUACAGGUCUUGUGUGGCCAGCGGGUCAUUCACCUGCUGUGUCUAGCCACAGUACAGGUCUUGUGUGGCCAGCGGGUCAUUCACCUGCUGUGUCUAGCCACAGUACAGGUCUUGUGUGGCCAGCGGGUCAUUCACCUGCUGUGUCUAGCCACAGUACAGGUCUUGUGUGGCCAGCGGGUCAUUCACCUGCUGUGUCUAGCCACAGUACAGGUCUUGUGUGGCCAGCGGGUCAUUCACCUGCUGUGUCUAGCCACAGUACAGGUCUUGUGUGGCCAGCGGGUCAUUCACCUGCUGUGUCUAGCCACAGUACAGGUCUUGUGUGGCCAGCGGGUCAUUCACCUGCUGUGUCUAGCCACAGUACAGGUCUUGUGUGGCCAGCGGGUCAUUCACCUGCUGUGUCUAGCCACAGUACAGGUCUUGUGUGGCCAGCGGGUCAUUCACCUGCUGUGUCUAGCCACAGUACAGGUCUUGUGUGGCCAGCGGGUCAUUCACCUGCUGUGUCUAGCCACAGUACAGGUCUUGUGUGGCCAGCGGGUCAUUCACCUGCUGUGUCUAGCCACAGUACAGGUCUUGUGUGGCCAGCGGGUCAUUCACCUGCUGUGUCUAGCCACAGUACAGGUCUUGUGUGGCCAGCGGGUCAUUCACCUGCUGUGUCUAGCCACAGUACAGGUCUUGUGUGGCCAGCGGGUCAUUCACCUGCUGUGUCUAGCCACAGUACAGGUCUUGUGUGGCCAGCGGGUCAUUCACCUGCUGUGUCUAGCCACAGUACAGGUCUUGUGUGGCCAGCGGGUCAUUCACCUGCUGUGUCUAGCCACAGUACAGGUCUUGUGUGGCCAGCGGGUCAUUCACCUGCUGUGUCUAGCCACAGUACAGGUCUUGUGUGGCCAGCGGGUCAUUCACCUGCUGUGUCUAGCCACAGUACAGGUCUUGUGUGGCCAGCGGGUCAUUCACCUGCUGUGUCUAGCCACAGUACAGGUCUUGUGUGGCCAGCGGGUCAUUCACCUGCUGUGUCUAGCCACAGUACAGGUCUUGUGUGGCCAGCGGGUCAUUCACCUGCUGUGUCUAGCCACAGUACAGGUCUUGUGUGGCCAGCGGGUCAUUCACCUGCUGUGUCUAGCCACAGUACAGGUCUUGUGUGGCCAGCGGGUCAUUCACCUGCUGUGUCUAGCCACAGUACAGGUCUUGUGUGGCCAGCGGGUCAUUCACCUGCUGUGUCUAGCCACAGUACAGGUCUUGUGUGGCCAGCGGGUCAUUCACCUGCUGUGUCUAGCCACAGUACAGGUCUUGUGUGGCCAGCGGGUCAUUCACCUGCUGUGUCUAGCCACAGUACAGGUCUUGUGUGGCCAGCGGGUCAUUCACCUGCUGUGUCUAGCCACAGUACAGGUCUUGUGUGGCCAGCGGGUCAUUCACCUGCUGUGUCUAGCCACAGUACAGGUCUUGUGUGGCCAGCGGGUCAUUCACCUGCUGUGUCUAGCCACAGUACAGGUCUUGUGUGGCCAGCGGGUCAUUCACCUGCUGUGUCUAGCCACAGUACAGGUCUUGUGUGGCCAGCGGGUCAUUCACCUGCUGUGUCUAGCCACAGUACAGGUCUUGUGUGGCCAGCGGGUCAUUCACCUGCUGUGUCUAGCCACAGUACAGGUCUUGUGUGGCCAGCGGGUCAUUCACCUGCUGUGUCUAGCCACAGUACAGGUCUUGUGUGGCCAGCGGGUCAUUCACCUGCUGUGUCUAGCCACAGUACAGGUCUUGUGUGGCCAGCGGGUCAUUCACCUGCUGUGUCUAGCCACAGUACAGGUCUUGUGUGGCCAGCGGGUCAUUCACCUGCUGUGUCUAGCCACAGUACAGGUCUUGUGUGGCCAGCGGGUCAUUCACCUGCUGUGUCUAGCCACAGUACAGGUCUUGUGUGGCCAGCGGGUCAUUCACCUGCUGUGUCUAGCCACAGUACAGGUCUUGUGUGGCCAGCGGGUCAUUCACCUGCUGUGUCUAGCCACAGUACAGGUCUUGUGUGGCCAGCGGGUCAUUCACCUGCUGUGUCUAGCCACAGUACAGGUCUUGUGUGGCCAGCGGGUCAUUCACCUGCUGUGUCUAGCCACAGUACAGGUCUUGUGUGGCCAGCGGGUCAUUCACCUGCUGUGUCUAGCCACAGUACAGGUCUUGUGUGGCCAGCGGGUCAUUCACCUGCUGUGUCUAGCCACAGUACAGGUCUUGUGUGGCCAGCGGGUCAUUCACCUGCUGUGUCUAGCCACAGUACAGGUCUUGUGUGGCCAGCGGGUCAUUCACCUGCUGUGUCUAGCCACAGUACAGGUCUUGUGUGGCCAGCGGGUCAUUCACCUGCUGUGUCUAGCCACAGUACAGGUCUUGUGUGGCCAGCGGGUCAUUCACCUGCUGUGUCUAGCCACAGUACAGGUCUUGUGUGGCCAGCGGGUCAUUCACCUGCUGUGUCUAGCCACAGUACAGGUCUUGUGUGGCCAGCGGGUCAUUCACCUGCUGUGUCUAGCCACAGUACAGGUCUUGUGUGGCCAGCGGGUCAUUCACCUGCUGUGUCUAGCCACAGUACAGGUCUUGUGUGGCCAGCGGGUCAUUCACCUGCUGUGUCUAGCCACAGUACAGGUCUUGUGUGGCCAGCGGGUCAUUCACCUGCUGUGUCUAGCCACAGUACAGGUCUUGUGUGGCCAGCGGGUCAUUCACCUGCUGUGUCUAGCCACAGUACAGGUCUUGUGUGGCCAGCGGGUCAUUCACCUGCUGUGUCUAGCCACAGUACAGGUCUUGUGUGGCCAGCGGGUCAUUCACCUGCUGUGUCUAGCCACAGUACAGGUCUUGUGUGGCCAGCGGGUCAUUCACCUGCUGUGUCUAGCCACAGUACAGGUCUUGUGUGGCCAGCGGGUCAUUCACCUGCUGUGUCUAGCCACAGUACAGGUCUUGUGUGGCCAGCGGGUCAUUCACCUGCUGUGUCUAGCCACAGUACAGGUCUUGUGUGGCCAGCGGGUCAUUCACCUGCUGUGUCUAGCCACAGUACAGGUCUUGUGUGGCCAGCGGGUCAUUCACCUGCUGUGUCUAGCCACAGUACAGGUCUUGUGUGGCCAGCGGGUCAUUCACCUGCUGUGUCUAGCCACAGUACAGGUCUUGUGUGGCCAGCGGGUCAUUCACCUGCUGUGUCUAGCCACAGUACAGGUCUUGUGUGGCCAGCGGGUCAUUCACCUGCUGUGUCUAGCCACAGUACAGGUCUUGUGUGGCCAGCGGGUCAUUCACCUGCUGUGUCUAGCCACAGUACAGGUCUUGUGUGGCCAGCGGGUCAUUCACCUGCUGUGUCUAGCCACAGUACAGGUCUUGUGUGGCCAGCGGGUCAUUCACCUGCUGUGUCUAGCCACAGUACAGGUCUUGUGUGGCCAGCGGGUCAUUCACCUGCUGUGUCUAGCCACAGUACAGGUCUUGUGUGGCCAGCGGGUCAUUCACCUGCUGUGUCUAGCCACAGUACAGGUCUUGUGUGGCCAGCGGGUCAUUCACCUGCUGUGUCUAGCCACAGUACAGGUCUUGUGUGGCCAGCGGGUCAUUCACCUGCUGUGUCUAGCCACAGUACAGGUCUUGUGUGGCCAGCGGGUCAUUCACCUGCUGUGUCUAGCCACAGUACAGGUCUUGUGUGGCCAGCGGGUCAUUCACCUGCUGUGUCUAGCCACAGUACAGGUCUUGUGUGGCCAGCGGGUCAUUCACCUGCUGUGUCUAGCCACAGUACAGGUCUUGUGUGGCCAGCGGGUCAUUCACCUGCUGUGUCUAGCCACAGUACAGGUCUUGUGUGACCAGCGGGUCAUUCACCUGCUGUGUCUAGCCACAGUACAGGUCUUGUGUGACCAGCGGGUCAUUCACCUGCUGUGUCUAGCCACAGUACAGGUUUUGUGUGGCCAGCGGGUCAUUCACCUGCUGUGUCUAGCCACAGUACAGGUCUUGUGUGGCCAGCGGGUCAUUCACCUGCUGUGUCUAGCCACAGUACAGAUCUUGUGUGGCCAGCGGGUCAUUUACCUGCUGUGUCUAGCCACAGUACAGGUCUUGUGUGGCCAGCGGGUCAUUUACCUGCUGUGUCUAGCCACAGUACAGGUCUUGUGUGGCCAGCGGGUCAUUUACCUGCUGUGUCUAGCCACAGUACAGGUCUUGUGUGACCAGCGGGUCAUUUACCUGCUGUGUCUAGCCACAUUCCCCACAAUAUUCCUUCCAAUGAAACUCCACUCCUUUUGUAGUUGA
rnacentral:lncRNA from 1 species